rnacentral:rRNA from 1 species
ACGGCGAGUGAACGGAGAGAAGCCCAGCGCUGAAUCAUUUGAUCUCAUAUGGAUCAAAAUGAAAUGUAGCGUAUAGGUGUAAUUGUCCAAAUGUUUUGUGCACUCAAAGUCCCCUUGAGCGGGGCCACAGUCCACAGAAGGUGCUAGACCUGUACGGGUGACGAAAUAUUUGGUUGAUUGCUCCUUGGAGUCGGGUUGCCUGAGAUCGCAGCUCAAAGUGGGUGGUAAACCUCAUCUAAGGCUAAAUAUGGCCACGAGACCGAUAGCAAACAAGUACCGUGAGGGAAAGUUGAAAAGAACUCUGAGAAGAGAGUUAAAGGAGGACGUGAAACCGCUGGGAUGGAAACGAAUAGAGUUGACGAAACUUACCGUCAUUCAACCGAUCAACUCAACGGUCUUUUAUUUGAUACCCAAAAAAAAAUUGUACCAAAAAUGCGCACAUCUCUUUGUUGGGGUGUGUGUAUUUGAUGGACAAUAAUAGGAGGUGCUGUUGAGUGUGUAGUGUGUUUUUUUGCAUAAAUUAACACACCUGUGUGAUCGGUGCAUUUGAUGGUAGUAUGCGCCGAGAGCUGCGUUGUGUUCAUUUGAUCAAUGUGUGUACGAUGAAACAUUGCGAUAGUGGACCGAUCAAUUUUUUGAUUCGGAAACCUAUCAAAUGUGGAAGCGUAUCAUCAAUGCAGUUUUGAGCAAAACAAAUGCAUACUUUCGCCGUUUAUUAUAAUAUGUUGCGCGCGCGUUACAUAUGUGCUCAAAUUUAUACUGACAUAUACAGAUCGCUUGCGUAUCUGUUAUGUUUUUUUUUGGUAUUGAAAUUGAGUGAUAUGUUUUUGUUUGUUUUUUUUGUUAUUUUCAAAAAACAAAAACGCGUUAAAGUUGCAUCUCGGUGUGAGCGUCAAUCACCUAUUCGACCCGUCUUGAAACACGGACCAAGGAGUCUAGCAUAUACGCAAGUUAUUGGGUGGUAAACCUUUAAAAGGCGCAAUGAAAGUGAACAUCGUUUUGAUACGAUUGAAAAAAAAUUUUUUUUUUUUUUUCUUGGAUAUGUGAACCAUGUUUAUGUGUAUGUGUGAGUGUAUGCAAUAUUUGUGUGUAUGUGUGUAUAUGGUAUGUUUGACAUAUCAUAUAUACUCAUCGAUCAUUUGUUGUGUACACUGUAAAAUACGCAUAAUUCACAUGGUGCAACAUAGCCCCGUUCUGAUUGCUUGCAAUAGGGCGGAGGUAGAGCGUAU